rnacentral:rRNA from 1 species
UCGGGAAUAUUGGGCAAUGGAGGAAACUCUGACCCAGCAAUACCGCGUGAAGGAUGAAGGUCUUCGGAUUGUAAACUUCUGUUAUAAAGGAAGAAACAAAUGACGGUACUUUAUAAGUAAGCCCCGGCAAAUUACGUGCCAGCAGCCGCGGUGAUACGUAAGGGGCAAGCGUUGUCCGGAAUGACUGGGUGUAAAGGGUGUGUAGGUGGCUUUUUAAGUUGGAAGUGAAAGCCCGGGGCUCAACUCCGGAACUGCUUUCAAAACUGGAUGGCUUGAGUGUGGGAGAGGUUAGUGGAACUCCUAGUGUAGCGGUGGAAUGCGUAGAUAUUAGGAAGAACAUCAGAGGCGAAGGCGACUAACUGGAACAUUACUGACACUGAAACACGAAAGUGUGGGGAGCAAACAGGAUUAGAUACCCGU